rnacentral:rRNA from 1 species
GCGCCUGAAGUCAAGUAAGAUGACCCGCUGAACUUAAGCAUAUCAUUAAGCGGAGGAAAAGAAACUAACAAGGAUUGCCUUAGUAGCGGCGAGCGAAGCGGCAACAGCCCAGACUGGGAAUCGCUCUUUGAGCGAGUUGUACAGUGAAGUCAUCCAUCUUACGUAAGGUUAGUGGAGUAAGUCCGCUGGAAUGCGGCGCCACAGAGGGUGCUAGCCCCGUACCUCAACUAACCGAACGAUAGAGGGUGUUCAAAGAGUCGGGUAGCUUGGGAUUGCUGCCCUAAUUGGGAGGUAGACUCCUUCUAAGGCUAAAUACGGACAAGAGACCGAUAGCGAACAAGUACUGUGAAGGAAAGAUGAAAAGCACUUUGAAAAGAGAGUUAAAAGACUUGAAACCGCUGAGGAGGAAGCAGUGAGCAGGGAUGAGCGGUCUCCGCGAGGCAGGCGGGUGGCUGAGGCGUAGGUGCGUGUAUGCUGUUAGCAUUGCGGCCUUACGUCCCGGUCAUUCGUCUGUGCCCCUGCCCACUGGCCCGUCUUGAAACACGGACCAAGGAGUCUAACAUGCGUGCGAGUAGGAGGGUGUAAAACCCCACUGCGCAACGUAAGUGAGCCUUGUGAAACUUGCAACAGGGGCCGCGACGAGCGAGCUCAGCAGGCAUGUUGGGACCCGAAAGAUGGUGAACUAUGCUUGGGGAAGGCGAAGCCAGGGGAAACUCUGGUGGAGGCUUGUAGGGAUACUGACGUGCAAUUCCGAUCGUAA